rnacentral:tRNA from 1 species
UUAGCUAGGGCGGAUGUAGCCAAGUGGAUCAAGGCAGUGGA